GAGUGGCGAACGGGUGAGUAACACGUGAGUAACCUGCCCUUGACUUUGGGAUAACUUCAGGAAACUGGGGCUAAUACCGGAUAGGAGCUCCUGCUGCAUGGUGGGGGUUGGAAAGUUUCGGCGGUUGGGGAUGGACUCGCGGCUUAUCAGCUUGUUGGUGGGGUAGUGGCUUACCAAGGCUUUGACGGGUAGCCGGCCUGAGAGGGUGACCGGCCACAUUGGGACUGAGAUACGGCCCAGACUCCUACGGGAGGCAGCAGUGGGGAAUAUUGCACAAUGGGCGGAAGCCUGAUGCAGCAACGCCGCGUGCGGGAUGACGGCCUUCGGGUUGUAAACCGCUUUCGCCUGUGACGAAGCGUGAGUGACGGUAAUGGGUAAAGAAGCACCGGCUAACUACGUGCCAGCAGCCGCGGUGAUACGUAGGGUGCGAGCGUUGUCCGGAUUUAUUGGGCGUAAAGGGCUCGUAGGUGGUUGAUCGCGUCGGAAGUGUAAUCUUGGGGCUUAACCCUGAGCGUGCUUUCGAUACGGGUUGACUUGAGGAAGGUAGGGGAGAAUGGAAUUCCUGGUGGAGCGGUGGAAUGCGCAGAUAUCAGGAGGAACACCAGUGGCGAAGGCGGUUCUCUGGGCCUUUCCUGACGCUGAGGAGCGAAAGCGUGGGGAGCGAACAGGCUUAGAUACCCUGGUAGUCCACGCUGUAAACGGUGGGUACUAGGUGUGGGGUCCAUUCCACGGGUUCCGUGCCGUAGCUAACGCUUUAAGUACCCCGCCUGGGGGAGUACGGCCGCAAGGCUAAAACUCAAAGGAAUUGACGGGGCCCCGCACAAGCGGCGGAGCAUGCGGAUUAAUUCGAUGCAACGCGUAGAACCUUACCUGGGUUUGACAUGGAUCGGGAGCGCUCAGAGAUGGGUGUGCCUCUUUUGGGGUCGGUUCACAGGUGGUGCAUGGCUGUCGUCAGCUCGUGUCGUGAGAUGUUGGGUUAAGUCCCGCAACGAGCGCAACCCUUGUUCACUGUUGCCAGCACGUUAUGGUGGGGACUCAGUGGAGACCGCCGGGGUCAACUCGGAGGAAGGUGGGGAUGACGUCAAGUCAUCAUGCCCCUUAUGUCCAGGGCUUCACGCAUGCUACAAUGGCUGGUACAGAGAGUGGCGAGCCUGUGAGGGUGAGCGAAUCUCGGAAAGCCGGUCUCAGUUCGGAUUGGGGUCUG
rnacentral:rRNA from 1 species